GAGGACGAGAAAGAGGAGGAGAACAAGGCGGACGAAGAGGACGAGAAUGUGUGCUCGGUAUAACCUGAGGUGGUUAUUGGUGGUUAUUGGUGGUUGUUGGGGGCGGUUGGCGGUGGUCGGAGGUGGACGAGAAGGAGGACGAGAAAGAUGAGGAAAACAAGGUGGACGAGGAGGACAAGGAUUUGUGCUCGGUAUAACCCGAGGUGGUUAUCAGUGGUUGU